rnacentral:rRNA from 1 species
CAGCCGCCGCGGUAAUACGGAGGGUGCAAGCGUUAAUCGGAAUUACUGGGCGUAAAGCGCACGCAGGCGGUCUGACAAGUCAGAUGUGAAAUCCCCGGGCUUAACCUGGGAACUGCAUUUGAAACUGUCAGGCUGGAGUCUUGUAGAGGGGGGUGGAAUUCCAGGUGUAGCGGUGAAAUGCGUAGAGAUCUGGAGGAAUACCGGUGGCGAAGGCGGCCCCCUGGACAAAGACUGACGCUCAGGUGCGAAAGCGUGGGGAGCAAACAGGAUUAGAUACCCGGUAGUCCCUGUCUCUUAUACA